UCGCACAGGCCAAUACCCUGUGUGGAUGACGGUACCAGCAUAAGAAGCACCGGCUAACUACGUGCCAGCAGCCGCGGUAAUACGUAGGGUGCGAGCGUUAAUCGGAAUUACUGGGCGUAAAGCGUGCGCAGGCGGUUAGGUAAGUUUGAUGUGAAAUCCCCGGGCUCAACCUGGGAACUGCAUUGAAGACUGCCUAACUAGAGUACGGCAGAGGGGGGUGGAAUUCCACGUGUAGCAGUGAAAUGCGUAGAGAUGUGGAGGAACACCGAUGGCGAAGGCAGCCCCCUGGGUCGAUACUGACGCUCAUGCACGAAAGCGUGGGGAGCAAACAGGAUUAGAUACCCUGGUAGUCCACGCCCUAAACGAUGUCAACUAGUUGUUGGUAGGGUUAAACCUAUUAGUAACGUAGCUAACGCGUGAAGUUGACCGCCUGGGGAGUACGGUCGCAAGAUUAAAACUC
rnacentral:rRNA from 1 species